rnacentral:rRNA from 1 species
GUGUCAGCCGCCGCGGUAAUACGAAGGGGGCUAGCGUUGUUCGGAAUCACUGGGCGUAAAGCGCACGUAGGCGGACCAUUAAGUCAGGGGUGAAAGCCUGGAGCUCAACUCCAGAACUGCCUUUGAUACUGAUGGUCUCGAGUAUGGAAGAGGUUGGUGGAACUGCGAGUGUAGAGGUGAAAUUCGUAGAUAUUCGCAAGAACACCAGUGGCGAAGGCGGCCAACUGGUCCAUUACUGACGCUGAGGUGCGAAAGCGUGGGGAGCAAACAGGAUUAGAAACCCGUGUAGUCC